GUGGGACAGACCAUCCAAGAAGUUUGUGCUUCAGUUCUGAUUGAGUUCCAGGACCGUCUUCUCUCCUGGGACUGAACCAAGCCGGGGAACCCAGCGAGCUUUCGUGGGAGAUCACAGUAUCUCAUUCCUGAGGUUUUAGACGUUAAUGAAAGAUGCUUUGCCUCCGGCCACUGGGGGCUAAAUCAACAAGCCUAGGAUUCCUGUUGGCCUUUGUAGAGGAAUACCAAAGACAGAGAGCAGACUCAGCUGAGGUCGGAGACAAAGCACGCAGCUGAAGACGGAAACGCUGUGCCCAAAACAAGCUUGUAUGCAGCGUAGUAA